rnacentral:rRNA from 1 species
CAGCAGCCGCGGGAAUACGUAGGGUGCGAGCGUUACUCGGAAUUACUGGGCGUAAAGCGUGCGCAGGCGGUUUGUUAAGACAGAUGUGAAAUCCCCGGGCUCAACCUGGGAACUGCAUUUGUGACUGGCAAGCUAGAGUCUGGCAGAGGGGGGUGGAAUUCCGCGUGUAGCAGUGAAAUGCGUAGAGAUCGGGAGGAACAUCAGUGGCGAAGGCGGCCAUCUGGGACAACACUAACGCUGAGGCACGAAAGCGUGGGGAGCAAACAGGAUUAGAUACCCCGGUAGUCCCUGUCUCUUAUAC